rnacentral:rRNA from 1 species
GGAGGGUGCAAGCGUUAAUCGGAAUUACUGGGCGUAAAGCGCGCGUAGGUGGCUUGUUAAGUCGGAUGUGAAAGCCCCGGGCUCAACCUGGGAACUGCAUUUGAUACUGGCAAACUAGAGUNNNAGGGAGGUAGAAUUCCACGUGUAGCUGGUGAAAUUCGUAGAUAUGUGGAGGAAUACCCAGUUCCACUUCCUCCUCGUUCGAGAGUGAGAGUUGAGU